AUUGAACGCUGGCGGCAGGCCUAACACAUGCAAGUCGAGCGAGCGGCGGACGGGUGAGUAAUGUAUGGAGAUCUGCCCGAUCGAGGGGGAUAACUACUGGAAACGUUGGCUAAUACCGCAUACUAUCGUUUCGACCCACAUGGGAGUAGCUAGUAGGUGGGGUAAAGGCUCACCUAGGCGACGAUCCCUAGCUGGUCUGAGAGGAUGAUCAGCCACACUGGGACUGAGACACGGCCCAGACUCCUACGGGAGGCAGCAGUGGGGAAUAUUGCACAAUGGGCGCAAGCCUGAUGCAGCCAUGCCGCGUGUAUGAAGAAGGCCUUAGGGUUGUAAAGUACUUUCAGCGGGGAGGCGGUACCCGCAGAAGAAGCAACGGCUAACUACGUGCCAGCAGCCGCGGUAAUUC
rnacentral:rRNA from 1 species